rnacentral:rRNA from 1 species
GUAGGUGGCAAGCGUUGUCCGGAAUUAUUGGGCGUAAAGCGCGCGCAGGCGGUUCUUUAAGUCUGAUGUGAAAGCCCACGGCUCAACCGUGGAGGGUCAUUGGAAACUGGAGAACUUGAGUACAGAAGAGGAAAGCGGAAUUCCACGUGUAGCGGUGAAAUGCGUAGAGAUGUGGAGGAACACCAGUGGCGAAGGCGGCUUUCUGGUCUGUAACUGACGCUGAGGCGCGAAAGCGUGGGGAGCAAACAGGGAUUAGAUACCCUGGUUGUCCACGCCGUAAACGAUGAGUGCUAAGUGUUAGGGGGGUUUCCGCCCCCUUAGUGCUGCAGCUAACGCAUUAAGCACUCCGCCUGGGGAGUACGGCCGCAAGGCUG